ACCAUCAAAAUACCAUUUUAUCAUUACACAAUAAGCAUGUAUCUUCUUUAAAAUCUCCAACAAUCAACAAACAUAGCAGGAAACAACAUAGUAUUCCCCGUCCUAUUUAAUUCAAAAUCCUAUAUAUGUAACUUUUCUUGUAUAUAUUCAGUUGCAGGAGUUGGUUAAUUUUAGGAGGAAAAAAAAUGGCAGGAGGUGGAGGAGAUCAAGAAACAAAUUUGGAAUAUACACCAACAUGGGUUGUUGUUGUGUAUUUGCUCAAGAAAAAACAGAAGCCACUCUAUGAAGCCUUACAAAAGAUCAGACAAGAGUUGAUGCUGCUAGGAUUCAUAUCUCUGCUAUUGACAGUGUCACAAGAUAGAAUUCUUAAAAUAUGCAUCUCAAAGCACUUGACUAAUCAUUGGCUCCCUUGUAAAAAGGACAAUGAUGCCAAAGAAACUGUUCACUUUCUGACCAAUUUCUUCUCUUUAGUUCUAGGAGGAAGGUGCCUUCUUGUUGGAUCUGCUAAUUCUGGUUAUUGUGGGGCUAAGGAUAAGGCACCAUUGCUAUCUCUUACAGCACUGCAUCAUCUACAUACCUUUAUCUUCGUGCUGGCCAUUUCACAUGUUACUUUCUCAGCUCUUACAAUUUUAUUUGAAGGUUUAAAGAUACGUCAGUGGAAAUCUUGGGAGGAAUAUAAUCCAGAAGAAGUACUUCGCUCGAAAGUUACACAUGUCCAAGACCAUGAUUUUUCCAAGAGCCGGUUUCUAGGUUUUGCGUUCUUUCGUCAAGCAAUUCUUUGGAUCUGUCACAAAAUUGGACUAUACAACUUUGAGGCUUGGCUUCAUUAUGAUUCAUUGCAAGGGGAAUCCAAAGUUCAAUUUUCACAAGUAUAUGAUACGCGUACUUGAGGCUGAUUUUAAGAAAGUUGUUGGGAUUAGCUGGUAUCUGUGGCUUUUUGUGGUCUUGUUCCUAUUGCUUAAUGUUCACGGCUGGAACGCAUACUUUUGGAUAGCAUUCAUUCCCUUUGGUGUAAGUGAUCAGUACUAUUAAAGACUACUAAUUUUUGUCAAUGCACCUUUGAGCUACUUGCAUUAUUCUUGUCCAAACUUAUUGAUUCUCAAGUUAUUUAUGUUAAAUCAAACUGGAUUCAUCUUUUUAAAUUCCUUUCUCACUUUACAGUCUGUUCAA